AAGCUGGAUUCGCUAGUAAUCGCGCAUCAGCCAUGGCGCGGUGAAUACGUUCCCGGGCCUUGUACACACCGCCCGUCAAGCCAUGGGAGGCCCGGGGGGUACCUGAAGUCCGUAACCGCGAGGAUCGGCCUAGGGUAAAACUGGUGACUGGGGCUAAGUCGUAACAAGGUACC
rnacentral:rRNA from 1 species